rnacentral:rRNA from 1 species
AGAACGAACGCUGGCGGCAUGCCUAAUACAUGCAAGUCGAACGAAGGCUUCGGCCUUAGUGGCGCACGGGUGCGUAACGCGUGGGAAUCUGCCCCUUGGUUCGGAAUAACAGUUGGAAACGACUGCUAAUACCGGAUGAUGACGAAAGUCCAAAGGUUUAUCGCCAAGGGAUGAGCCCGCGUAGGAUUAGCUAGUUGGUGAGGUAAAGGCUCACCAAGGCGACGAUCCUUAGCUGGUCUGAGAGGAUGAUCAGCCACACUGGGACUGAGACACGGCCCAGACCUCCUACGGGAGGCAGCGAGUAGGGAAUAUUGGACAGU